rnacentral:rRNA from 1 species
AGAGUUGAUCAGUGGCGUCAGGACGAACGCUGGCGGCGUGCCUAACACAUGCAAGUCGAGCGAGGAGAUUCCUUCGGGAUGAUCCUAGCGGCGGACGGGUGAGUAACACGUGGGCAACCUGCCUCAUAGAGAGGAAUAGCCUUCCGAAAGGGAGAUUAAUACCUCAUAACAUUGCAGUUUCGCAUGGAACAGCAAUUAAAGGAGUAAUCCGCUAUGAGAUGGGCCCGCGGCGCAUUAGCUAGUUGGUGAGGUAACGGCUCACCAAGGCGACGAUGCGUAGCCGACCUGAGAGGGUGAUCGGCCACAUUGGGACUGAGACACGGCCCAGACUCCUACGGGAGGCAGCAGUGGGGAAUAUUGCACAAUGGGGGAAACCCUGAUGCCAGCAACGCCGCGUGAGUGAUGACGGCCUUCGGGUUGUAAAGCUCUGUCUUCAGGGACGAUAAUGACGGUACCUGAGGAGGAAGCCACGGCUAACUACGUGCCAGCCGCCGC